GUCCACGCCGUAAACGAUGGAUACUAGCUGUUGGGGGCAACUUCAGUGGCUAAGCGAAAGUGAUAAGUAUCCCACCUGGGGAGUACGAACGCAAGUUUGAAACUCAAAGGAAUUGACGGGGGCCCGCACAAGCGGUGGAGCAUGUGGUUUAAUUCGAUGAUACGCGAGGAACCUUACCAAGGCUUAAAUGUAGAUUGACCGGUUUGGAAACAGACUUUUCGCAAGACAAUUUACAAGGUGCUGCAUGGUUGUCGU
rnacentral:rRNA from 1 species